rnacentral:lncRNA from 1 species
AAUACCUAGAGAAGAAUAAAACCUUUGUCUGUGACAGUGAAUAUAUAUAUAGAUACAUACAUAUAUAUAUAUAUAUAUAUAUAUAUUUUUUUUUUUUUUUCUUGAGACAAAAUCUCGUUCUGUCACCCAGGCUGGAGUACAGUGAUGCAAUCUCAGCUCAACAGUGAAUAUAUUAAAGCCUGAAGUACAUGGAGGAAAGAAGAAAUCCAUUUGAAUGGAAGAAGCAUUCCAAGUGACAGAAUGUAUCAGAACAUUUAAAGACGAAAUAAGGACAUCAUUUUGAAUCAUGAGGCCUACUGGAAAAAUAAACAACAAAAAGCAAGCAAGCAAAAUACAGUGGAGAGAGCUGAUAGAGCAGUAGAAGGUCUCCUGGAAUAUCCCCACAGGCUGCUGGUGUCUGAUCCUAGAAAGAAAAGUUCAGAGAAUGAGAACCCCUGGACUGUCUACAAAAAAAAAAAAAAAAAAAAAACAGAAACGCGACAUGCUACUAAAAAGGAAUAUUUAACCUGGAUUAAUUCAUAAAAUAAUAGGAGAAAAUUUUUGCAGCCAGAAUACUAUGAAUUUGAGUUGGUUGAAGGUAAGAAAACACAAGCCUGUCAGUAUCUCCCCAUUUCUCCCUCCCUUUAGAGUUCACA